GUCUGGGGUUAGGGCUUGCCCGUUCAAAUUGCACAAAGAUUUUUGUGCUCAACUUCCUUUUGUUAAGCCUCUAUUAAAUAUUUAAGGAGCUGGCGCCUAGAGCAUUUAAAUUAGGAUUUGAUUUACGUCAAAUUGAUUUGUACAUCACCUUUGCCAAUCAGGUCCUCUCUUCGGGGAAUGUGGAGCUGGGGACAAGGAGAUUGAGUCUGCCAGUUGUGGGGAGCAGACCUGGAAGGUUAGAGAGAUCCAAGGGCCGAAUUUGGCAAUCUGGAGCAGUUGCGUGCUGGGGGACUCUCUCUGUGAUAAACCCCCUUCUACCUGAGUGUCACUGAAUGAGAAAACUGAGCUACAGAGAUGAAGGCCACCUAGCCAUUAAGGAAUGGAGCUGGGAUUCAGGCCCGGGCUGCCUGGCUGCAUUAUGCCUCCUUGCCUUUCUCAAGCACUAUCAACAUGCUCAUAGUAAAAUAGAAAUGCCUCUUACACCUAGAAACAGCUUAACCCAAUGCUGGCUAAAGCUCUGGUCUGUCUUUGCUCCAGUGGAAACCAACACCACCAUGGUCUUGAGGACAGGACCCAUCACUGGAAAUGCAGGGUCGACCAGGAUUAUAUAGAGUGGAGAUUUCAUGGCUCCUGGGUCUGGGUCCCUUUCUUUCCGGUGACCAGUUAUACAGGGGGAGAGAAGAGGAUGCUAAGAAUAAACUUGGCGUGACUUCUCAGUUACAGAUGACCAGGCUAACUCUAGCCAGUGAGCUGGCAACUGUUCAUCCCCAUCCUUAAAGAGAACCAGUAUCUGCUCACUUCUAUAAAAUGGUAGACUCCAUGGACGAACUGGGUUAACUGGGUUCUUCUUGGAUGUGCCAGGUAUGUCAGCUCUUCCAGUGGAUCACACCAAUUCUCAUGGUAACUUUGGAAGAAAGUCUCUUCCCCCAUUUUAGAGAUGGUAAAAUUGAGGCUUGGGGGAGAGAAAUACAGUAUGGUGAGGGCUUACUUUUCUGUCCUAUUCCAGUUAUCAUAUACACCAUUCGUCCUGUAUGAAGCACAGUACAGAGCAGAGCAGAAGCACCUUCUCAACCCCAGGCACCAUUUCUGAUGUGUCAAAGGAUGGGAAGCAAAAAGAAUACCUCUUCCACCUGCGUUACAGUGUGAGAGCACAGCUCAAAAGCACAUGUAUCUAUAAAGUGUUUGGAAAAUACUAUAUGAAUACAAACUACUAAUUAAUAAGUGAGUGAGUUGGUCCAGAGGUGGGCAGUCUAGCGUGGAGACUGAGAGCACAGGCUCUGGAAUCAGAUGGCACUGGGUCUGAUGAACUUGUGACCCCUCUGAACCUCAAGUUUCCUCAUCUGCAAAAUAGAGACGUGAAUAUUCCCUGUCUCGGAGGGCCUCAUGAAGCUCCAGGGAGUUAGCGCAUAUGGAAGGCUUAGCAGAACGCCUGACUUACACUGUUGUGGUUGUGACUGCUAGUAUUAUAAAUAACUCAACUAGUCUUAGUUUUCUCAUCUGUGAAACAGAAAAAAAAAUCAUUUUACCCAUCUCACAAUGCUUUCAUAAUUUCAAAC
ensembl:lincRNA